ensembl:lncRNA
AUCUGCAAUACUGUACACGAAGAUCAAAAAUUAUCCGAUUAUGGAUGAGGUGAAACAUGAAAAAAAAAACUGAAGCCAUCAUGAAAAGUCCCAUCUUGAAGCACAUAUUAAGAAAAUGAAUUUUUCAUGCAGGGUUAAAUUUAAGUCGGGGGAAUAUUAACGAGGACGAAAGCUGCACUGACGCCUCAGGAGAAGACCGACGAGUCCCAUAGAAGCCAACUACAGCCGUGGAAAAGUUAUUGUUCGCGGAGCCCCGGUGGGGUUUAAAGUUCAGCUAGGCUAUUAGCAGGUAGUUAGCUUCGUAUCUGUACCCGUUGGUCCCCUCACAAUGGCAGCUGUGUGCCAGCCGCGACGUGCUUUGGUGGAAAUCCCUGCACCGCAGCCCAAAAUUGCAGCUCGAAUGAGGAGGUCCUACUUAGAAAUUCUGAGUGCACGUUUGGCUCCGUCUCCUCUUCCAAGAGGGAGAACCACAGCUCCAAAGCGUGUACAAUCAUUGGACUUGUCCAUCGGUGGAGUUUGGAGAGGAGGGAUGGAGGAGCAUUGUGAGAAGAUGGACGAGCCCCACACACCGCUCUCCAAACAGCAGCUUGUACAGCUGAUCAGAUCCCUGAUCUUAGUGGAACAGAGCCAAGAGCCAAGGAUCAUAGCGUCAGACCUGAAAUAUCUUCAGGAAGACCUGCAGCUAAAGAAGGCAAAUGUUUACAGGUCCAUACCUUAUUCACGGUUUGGCUCCAACAGGGAUGCUCACUGCUACAGGAAGGCCUAUCCUCAUCUAGUGGCAUUCAAAGUUUCGUGUCAGGAGUGGGGCCAAGUUCUGCUGAGGAACAAAGAGUGGGACGCUGCGUUGGAGCACUCGUUGAUGGCGUGGCGAUACACCAGCGAGUUGCCGCAGUGGGACACGGCGAACCACAACGCUCUCCGAGAACAGUGUUACAGCAUCCUGGCAGCUCACAGCCUCACCGCUCUGGAGCACUACCGCCCCGAACCCAACAGAGGACGCGAGCUGCUCAGAAGGUUGAAGAUGGCUCAGCUGCAUAGCCAGUCAGUUGUUCCCUGUAUUCAGGAGCUGCAGAGGAUUAUGGGAUGCUGUGAUGACUCAUCCAUGGAUACAAAAUGAUAGGAGAAUGCACCUCAACAGCUGGAUUCAUGGCAGUGAAAAGUGCGCUCAGUGAUUUAUGUGUGUUAAUGGGCCAAAAACAUUUUACAUGGUGGUGUUUGUUUGGAAAAACCACUCCAGUAUUCUUCCAAAGGGCACGGUCGCCAGUGCAAAAUUGCCAAAAGUGCCACACAAUGCGGGUUUGUAAAGGUGAUGAAAACCACCCUCUAAAUGGUUGGAAAUGCAAUAAAACCUCUUAUUUAUUCACGUGGCAUUUUAACAUCAACUGCAAAGUGUCAUGAAGAGGAGUGCAUUCAUUGGUUAAUGGAGCAUUCUGUUCAUACAUUACCUUGCAGGCUAUAAAAUAUGUUCCCUCAUUUCUAAGGAGCAUUCACACUCUGACAAAUGUUAUGGUCACUUGGUGCUGGCAGUGAUGUAAUGAAAAUAUUUGUAUGUUUUUAGAUCUUUGUAUAAUGUAGUCUGGAUUGAAAUGUAAAGAAUAUAAAAUGUCUCAUGUUGCUUUAUGGGUGUGUAUAUAUGUUACUGUUCACGAUACUUGAAGCUGUGGCCUUUUGUCUUCAACUAGUUAAGUUUUAUGUGUUGUAGAGAAUUGUCUGUCAUCGAUUGCACUGUUUGUCCUGAAAACUUGAAACUUGAUAAAAUAGGUUCCUAAUUUAAAUAAAUUCCUUACUUUGAACUGCA